UGUAUGUGUGUGUAGGGGUCGGGGUGGGGGGGUCCGUGUUCGCGAUCUGAACCUUUGGUACCUACAAGGAGGGUGUCUCACCGAACGGUAGCUAAGACCUCACCAGGACCGCGCGGAAGCGAGGAGUCGCGGCCAAAGGCGCCCGCCGGAGCCUCGUCUCUGGGCCGGACCCCAACCCGAGCGGCCGAAAGGAACCCCCCGCCCGGACCACAGCCAUGGUCUGUAUUCUUCAAAAAUGUCAAGAUCAUCUAUGACAAAUAAUGACUGAGGAAAUAUUCCAGAUUAAAGGAGAUUAAAAAGACAUCAUGUCUAAAGGGGCUUCCCUGGUGGCGCAGUGGUUGAGAAUCUGCCUGCCAAUGCAGGGGACACGGGUUCAAGCCCUGGUCUGGGAAGAUCCCACAUGCCGCGGAGCAACUGGGCCCGUGAGCCACAACUACUGAGCCUGCGCGUCUGGAGCCUAAGCUCCGCAACAAGAGAGGCCACGAUAGUGAGAGACCCGUGCACCGCGAUGAAGAGUAGCCCCAGCUUGCUGCAACUAGAGAAAGCCCUUGCACAGAAACGAAGACCCAACACAGCCAUAAAUUAAAAAAAAAUAAUAAUAAUUAAUUUAAAAAAAUUCUU